UUUCCGUAGGUGAACCUGCGGAAGGAUCAUUACUGAGUGAGGGCCCCUCGGGGUCCAACCUCCCACCCGUGUUUAACGAACCUUGUUGCAUCGGCGGGCCCGCCUCACGGCCGCCGGGGGGCAUCUGCCCCCGGGCCCGCGCCCGCCGAAGCCACCUGUGAACGCUGUCUGAAGUAUGCAGUCUGAGACAAUUAUUAAAUUAAUUAAAACUUUCAACAACGGAUCUCUUGGUUCCG
rnacentral:misc_RNA from 1 species